UGCUAGAGUGGAAGCUCUUGCAGUGGGGAAGCUAUCACUAAACUUGACGGGUUUUAGCAGCAAGGCCAUUUCUAUUUUUGGAAAUUAGAUCAGCCUUGCAAUCCAGAGCCUUCUGUUGUUCACACAAUCUAUACUUCUCAUGGUGGAAUAUCUUAACACUGCAGCACUUGGGCCUAAAAAAGAUUACAAAUCAAAUAGGUUGCUUAAGUUACGAAAUCUGGAGAUAAUAUGAGGUGACGCAAAUGAUGGACGGGUUGGAUGGCCUUCGUACAUCACAUGGCCCCAACUCUAUUUUGAGUGCAAUGAAUCGAGAAUACACUGUAAGUGAGUUCAGAAUCGUGGUAGAUACUUUGAAUCAACUAGUACCUGAAAUGCAGAUUCGAACAAAUAUAAUUUGCGGAUUCCAUGUUGGCAUUCUUCUUAUGGGAACUUAUCUGUUGGUCAGAAAUACACAAGUUGACCCCACAUUCCAUCUGUGAUUAGGAUCAUUGUUUAGUAGGCCACCACAUUCUGAGUUGUAUCUCACAAAUCAAGCAAGUUCUUCUACUUCAACAUCUGUAGUUGUCUCCACUGAAGGUGCAACAUAAAUCAGAUUUUUUGGUUCUGUUGCCACUACAGGUGAAGUUCUUGUUUUUAUUUCUUUUUAAAGGCACUCUUGGAUCUUUACUAAUGUUGCUUAUUCUCACAAGCAAGCUUCCAACCAUCACAAUAAAUUAGAGGUAUCUUUAUUCCAUGCCUUUGGGCACAUGAUUGAAUUAGAGGUAUCUUUGUUUCAUGCCUUUCGGCACAUGAUUGAAUUAGAGGUAUCUUUGUUUCCUUCCUUUGCAAUUUGAGUUCUUUGCCUUAUCAGGUUGUCUUUAAUUUAAUUUUAUUAUUUUUUUAUGCAUGACUUAGUUUUUAAGAACCGCAUGCCAAUUGAAUUGGAUCAUAGCUAAACCUUGGCUCAAGUAAUGUUACGGUGGAGCAUAGGCUAGGCUUCUUAUAGUGAAUAUCUUGUAGCUAUAUAACUCAUAUUUGCAUUGGUGAGAAACAAUUCGUGGACCUGCAGAUCUUAGGCAUCUCGACCAUUUAUUGAUUACAAUAUUUGACAGUUUGAAUGGGAAAUGCCAGAAGGAACUCGAGACAAUUGGGAGGCAAUAUCCAUUUAAACCUUCGAAGCUCAAUUUUCUUUGCCAUUAUGAGUUUUGAAAUGUUGAAUUUAGUCUAUAUGCUCAUUGUCUCCAUUGAUCAUUUUUUGUUUGCCUUUGUUAUAACUUGUAUAUGUCUAU